rnacentral:rRNA from 1 species
UAGGGAAUAUUGGGCAAUGGGCGCAAGCCUGACCCAGCAACGCCGCGUGAGGGAAGAAGGUUUUCGGAUUGUAAACCUCUGUCCUAUGUGACGAAGGAAGUGACGGUAGCAUAGGAGGAAGCCCCGGCUAACUACGUGCCAGCAGCCGCGGUAAUACGUAGGGGGCGAGCGUUGUCCGGAAUUACUGGGCGUAAAGGGUGCGUAGGCGGUUUGGUAAGUUGGAUGUGAAAUACCCGGGCUUAACUUGGGGGCUGCAUCCAAUACUGCUGAACUUGAGUGCAGGAGAGGAAAGCGGAAUUCCUAGUGUAGCGGUGAAAUGCGUAGAUAUUAGGAGGAACACCGGUGGCGAAGGCGGCUUUCUGGACUGUAACUGACGCUGAGGCACGAAAGCGUGGGGAGCAAACAGG